UGUUGUUGGGUAGGGGAGCGUUCUGUAAGCCUGUGAAGGUGUGUCGUGAGGCAUGCUGGAGGUAUCAGAAGUGCGAAUGCUGACAUAAGUAACGAUAAAGCGGGUGAAAAGCCCGCUCGCCGGAAGACCAAGGGUUCCUGUCCAACGUUAAUCGGGGCAGGGUGAGUCGACCCCUAAGGCGAGGCCGAAAGGCGUAGUCGAUGGGAAACGGGUUAAUAUUCCCGUACUUGGUGUUACUGCGAAGGGGGGACGGAGAAGGCUAUGUUGGCCGGGCGACGGUUGUCCCGGUUUAAGCGUGUAGGCUGGUUUUCCAGGCAAAUCCGGAAAAUCAAGGCUGAGGCGUGACGACGAGGCACUACGGUGCUGAAGCAACAAAUGCCCUGCUUCCAGGAAAAGCCUCUAAGCAUCAGGUAACAUCAAAUCGUACCCCAAACCGACACAGGUGGUCAGGUAGAGAAUACCAAGGCGCUUGAGAGAACUCGGGUGAAGGAACUAGGCAAAAUGGUGCCGUAACUUCGGGAGAAGGCACGCUGACACGUAGGUGAAGUGAUUUACUCAUGGAGCUGAAGUCAGUCGAAGAUACCAGCUGGCUGCAACUGUUUAUUAAAAACACAGCACUGUGCAAACACGAAAGUGGACGUAUACGGUGUGACGCCUGCCCGGUGCCGGAAGGUUAAUUGAUGGGGUCAGCGCAAGCGAAGCUCCUGAUCGAAGCCCCGGUAAACGGCGGCCGUAACUAUAACGGUCCUAAGGUAGCGAAAUUCCUUGUCGGGUAAGUUCCGACCUGCACGAAUGGCGUAAUGAUGGCCAGGCUGUCUCCACCCGAGACUCAGUGAAAUUGAACUCGCUGUGAAGAUGCAGUGUACCCGCGGCAAGACGGAAAGACCCCGUGAACCUUUACUAUAGCUUGACACUGAACAUUGAGCCUUGAUGUGUAGGAUAGGUGGGAGGCUUUGAAGUGUGGACGCCAGUCUGCAUGGAGCCGACCUUGAAAUACCACCCUUUAAUGUUUGAUGUUCUAACGUGGACCCGUAAUCCGGGUUGCGGACAGUGUCUGGUGGGUAGUUUGACUGGGGCGGUCUCCUCCUAAAGAGUAACGGAGGAGCACGAAGGUUGGCUAAUCCUGGUCGGACAUCAGGAGGUUAGUGCAAUGGCAUAAGCCAGCUUGACUGCGAGCGUGACGGCGCGAGCAGGUGCGAAAGCAGGUCAUAGUGAUCCGGUGGUUCUGAAUGGAAGGGCCAUCGCUCAACGGAUAAAAGGUACUCCGGGGAUAACAGGCUGAUACCGCCCAAGAGUUCAUAUCGACGGCGGUGUUUGGCACCUCGAUGUCGGCUCAUCACAUCCUGGGGCUGAAGUAGGUCCCAAGGGUAUGGCUGUUCGCCAUUUAAAGUGGUACGCGAGCUGGGUUUAGAACGUCGUGAGACAGUUCGGUCCCUAUCUGCCGUGGGCGCUGGAGAACUGAGGGGGGCUGCUCCUAGUACGAGAGGACCGGAGUGGACGCAUCACUGGUGUUCGGGUUGUCAUGCCAAUGGCACUGCCCGGUAGCUAAAUGCGGAAGAGAUAAGUGCUGAAAGCAUCUAAGCACGAAACUUGCCCCGAGAUGAGUUCUCCCUGAGACUUUAGGUCUCCUGAAGGAACGUUGAAGACGACGACGUUGAUAGGCCGGGUGUGUAAGCGCAGCGAUGCGUUGAGCUAACCGGUACUAAUGAACCGUGAGGCUUAACCUUACAACGCCGAAG
rnacentral:rRNA from 1 species